UCUUGCUGCUUUAGGGCGGCAGAAAGGAGGGGUGGUGGAUCCAUAGCUAGGAUGACAGCAUCGGUGGUAGUAGACCUCAGCGGGUCUCAUGCGAAGGUUCUGGGUGAUGGCAGUUUGGGGGUCACUGGAUUGCAACAACUGCCUCUGCCGGCAUUCCCAACACUGAAAAGCAAGCCAUUAGAUGCUGAGAGACAUCCUUAAAGGCCUCUCCAGUACGAGCAGUGGACCAAAGAAAAUGAGAUUUCCCCACAAUGCUUUCAAGACAAAGGAUAGAAAUUAAUAUAGUAUAUCAUCCACUCCAUCACUGCUGUCCCUA